rnacentral:rRNA from 1 species
CCCUUAGAUGUUCUGGGCCGCACGCGCGCUACACUGAUGCAUUCAACGAGUCUAAAACCUGCUCUGAUAGGGGUGGGUAAUCUUUUGAAUGUGCAUCGUGAUUGGGAUAGAUGAUUGCAAUUUUUCAUCUUCAACGAGGAAUGCCUAGUAAACGCAAGUCAUCAGCUUGCAUUGAUUACGUCCCUGCCCUUUGUACUCACCGCCCGUCGCUCCUACCGAUUGAAUGAUCCGAUGAAUAUCAUGGAUUGAGGAUGCAAGUAGGUUCGCCUAUCUUCAUCUUCGAGAAGUGAAGUAAAUCUUAUCAUUUAGAGGAAGGAGAAGUCGUAACA